rnacentral:miRNA from 1 species
UCUGGGAACCGGUUUUGCUGCU